rnacentral:lncRNA from 1 species
UUAGCUGUACCUAAGGUGGUGGGAUUUGUUGUGCAUAUUAGUACAUGCUCACGAUUUAACAAUAUGAUUUGGCCAACAUCACUCCCUAGUUCACCAAUUUUCUAUCAACAGAUUAAAAAAAAAAAAAAAGAAAAGAAAACUGAGGCCAAAGAGCUUUUGUUGCCUGAGGUCACAGAGUUGAUCAUCUCUGUAGCCCAGGUGUGAGCCCCCAGGAUUCAGAGACUCCUCCUGUGAGACCUUGGGGCCCACUGGAAGUUAGCCCCAGGCUAACUUCAAGGGACACUUCUUGCCUCGGUCUCACGCAGCCUCUAAGCAAUGUCCACAGUUGGAAUGGUGCCACGGCAGCCAGGCAGCAACCCCCGGAGUGCACACAGAGAACUUGUGCCGUGGGCUGGCUCCUGGGCCCCUCUCACCUUCUUUAUGACCCUGGACCAAAGGCUUCCAGAUCAAUGGGCUGGGGGCACCUCAGCCCAUCCUAGCAGAAGUAGGGUGUGUGAUGUACCCCAGGCCCUGGCCUCUCCUUCAGGGGGAGUGCCACGUGAGCACAGCUUGGGUGUUGUGUUCUGAAGGAUGCAGGUGCAGAGUGUCUGCUGCUGUCCCCGUCCCCGAGGCUUCCUUGCCCCCUGUGGUCAAUUUUCUCUUCCCUUCUGGGAUUUCUCCCAUUUUCAGGGUUCAUUCUGCUGCCCCCCAAAACCUCAGUUUGUGCGGCGCCAGCCUUCCUGAUGCUCCAAACCCAGCUGUUGCUGCAGCGGCUUCAGGCCUGCUUGAAUGCUCCUGCAGUCAGGCAGCUCACCACCGCGUUCAGCUAAGAAUCUUCCCCUCGGAGGACUGACUUAGGCCAUCGUCCCCCAGGUAAGUGUUUGGAUCUCUCCCAGAUAAACUGGUGCUGCGUCUGCACAGCGACCCCUCAACACUUGCCGUCGCCUUUCGUCUUCUCUGGGGAGCUGCUCCACGGGCAGCACCAAGUCCACUCCACCCUGCAGCCCCUGCCGCGUGUGUCUUGU